GUAGGUGGCAAGCGUUGUCCGGAAUUAUUGGGCGUAAAGCGCGCGCAGGCGGUUCUUUAAGUCUGAUGUGAAAGCCCACGGCUCAACCGUGGAGGGUCAUUGGAAACUGGAGAACUUGAGUACAGAAGAGGAAAGCGGAAUUCCACGUGUAGCGGUGAAAUGCGUAGAGAUGUGGAGGAACACCAGUGGCGAAGGCGGCUUUCUGGUCUGUAACUGACGCUGAGGCGCGAAAGCGUGGGGGGAGCAAACAGGAUUAGAUACCCUGGUAGUCCACGCCGUAAACGAUGAGUGCUAAGUGUUAGGGGGUUUCCGCCCCCCCCUUAGUGCUGCAGCUAACGCAUUAAGCACUCCGCCUGGGAGUACGGCCGCAAGGCUG
rnacentral:rRNA from 1 species